rnacentral:rRNA from 1 species
UACGAAGGGGGCUAGCGUUGUUCGGAAUCACUGGGCGUAAAGCGCACGUAGGCGGAUUGUUAAGUCAGGGGUGAAAUCCUGGAGCUCAACUCCAGAACUGCCUUUGAUACUGGCGAUCUCGAGUCCGGGAGAGGUGAGUGGAACUGCGAGUGUAGAGGUGAAAUUCGUAGAUAUUCGCAAGAACACCAGUGGCGAAGGCGGCUCACUGGCCCGGUACUGACGCUGAGGCGCGAAAGCGUGGGGAGCAAACAGG